rnacentral:rRNA from 1 species
CUAUACAUGCAGUCGAACGAGUUCUGAUUAUUGAAAGGUGCUUGCAUCUUGAUUUAAUUUUGAACGAGUGGCGGACGGGUGAGUAACACGUGGGUAACCUGCCCUUAAGUGGGGGAUAACAUUUGGAAACAGAUGCUAAUACCGCAUAAAUCCAAGAACCGCAUGGUUCUUGGCUGAAAGAUGGCGUAAGCUAUCGCUUUUGGAUGGACCCGCGGCGUAUUAGCUAGUUGGUGAGGUAACGGCUCACCAAGGCAAUGAUACGUAGCCGAACUGAGAGGUUGAUCGGCCACAUUGGGACUGAGACACGGCCCAAACUCCUACGGGAGGCAGCAGUAGGGAAUCUUCCACAAUGGACGCAAGUCUGAUGGAGCAACGCCGCGUGAGUGAAGAAGGCUUUCGGGUCGUAAAACUCUGUUGUUGGAGAAGAAUGGUCGGCAGAGUAACUGUUGUCGGCGUGACGGUAUCCAACCAGAAAGCCACGGCUAACUACGUGCCAGCAGCCGCGGUAAUACGUAGGUGGCAAGCGUUAUCCGGAUUUAUUGGGCGUAAAGCGAGCGCAGGCGGUUUUUUAAGUCUGAUGUGAAAGCCCUCGGCUUAACCGAGGAAGUGCAUCGGAAACUGGAAAACUUGAGUGCAGAAGAGGACAGUGGAACUCCAUGUGUAGCGGUGAAAUGCGUAGAUAUAUGGAAGAACACCAGUGGCGAAGGCGGCUGUCUGGUCUGUAACUGACGCUGAGGCUCGAAAGCAUGGGUAGCGAACAGGAUUAGAUACCCUGGUAGUCCAUGCCGUAAACGAUGAAUGCUAGGUGUUGGAGGGUUUCCGCCCUUCAGUGCCGCAGCUAACGCAUUAAGCAUUCCGCCUGGGGAGUACGACCGCAAGGUUGAAACUCAAAGGAAUUGACGGGGGCCCGCACAAGCGGUGGAGCAUGUGGUUUAAUUCGAAGCAACGCGAAGAACCUUACCAGGUCUUGACAUCUUUUGAUCACCUGAGAGAUCAGGUUUCCCCUUCGGGGGCAAAUGACAGGUGGUGCAUGGUUGUCGUCAGCUCGUGUCGUGAGAUGUUGGUUAAGUCCCGCAACGAGCGCAACCCUUAUGACUAGUUGCCAGCAUUUAUUGGG